CCAUUUAUUUCAUCUUAAGUGUUUUGAUGGACAUGUUAGUCAUAUUGGACAUGAGCUGCACCCAAAUUUACAAUAUUUGAUUUUCAAUUAGACAUGCAACAGAUGGGUCUGGUUAUGUUCCUGAAUAUAAUAUAUUAAGAACUUACCAAACAUUUUGAUCAACAUUUUCUAUUAAUGUAAAAAUAAAUAAAAUGGAAUUGCACAUGAAUCAUUUAACUACUUUAUUGCAAUUAAUCAGUGUUCAUUUAUGAAUGGAACAAGGUUCUUGGAUUUCCACAUAUCUUUCAAUUGUUCUGACAUACAUCUAAAGUCUGAGCAUGACAGUGACAUUGCAAAGAAACUUAAGAAAUAUAUGUUGUCCUACUACAACUAAAAUAUUACCCAAAAAAAACAUGAAUGAAUACAUUCAAAAUAAUAACACCUUUGCUGGUCUUAAAGCAAAAUAGUUAAUAAAUGUUCUUUAUUUUUCCUGUACCAGACCUGCAGUGAUCACCUAUGGUAUGUGGGACCAGGUGCGAGUAGACCAUGGAAAGGAAUUUUAUUUAACACUGUUCAUGCAAGAGAUGCUGUCACAUCAUCGCUUCAAUCAGGAGAGACUGCCUUAUUUACAGACCUCAUCCACAAGAAACCACACAGUUGAAAGGAUUUGGCCUGAAAUCAACAACCGUGUCAACUACCCACUAAAACUGCCCUACUCCAGCUGAUGGACCAGGAGGAGAUAGAUAUGGAGGAUAACCUUGUGCGAUACUGUGUGUCCAAUCUAACCUGUCAGCUGUGUAACAUUGGUCUUGCAAGUGUGGUAGAAUCAUGGAAUGCUCAUAGAAUCCCAGGAAAAGGCAUACCAAAUCACUUUGCAGAACAUGGGUGUAAAAGAAGAAUUUCUCCAGAGCUCUUGCCAAAUGCACUUGAAGCAGCAGACCUUUACAGGCAGCACUUGGGAUCUGCACUCAAAGAAUAUUCGACUUUUGGAGUUGAUCCCUUCACAACCGAACAGGACAAACUUAGAACAGAGAGUCAUUUUGCAGAAAAAUAUCCUGAUAUUUCACAUUUGUUUUUUAGAGCCGUAAAUGGUGACUUUAUGCCAUACAAAGAAGCUCUGCUCUGUCUCAUAAACAUAACUCAGAGAAAUGUAUGAACCACUGCAUCUGUAAACUGUACAGAACAGA